rnacentral:rRNA from 1 species
UACGGGGGGGGCAAGCGUUGUUCGGAAUUACUGGGCGUAAAGGGUUCGUAGGUGGCCAACUAAGUCAGACGUGAAAUCCCUCAGCUUAACUGGGGAACUGCGUCUGAGACUGGAUGGCUUGAGUGCAGGAGAGGAACGCGGAAUUCCAGGUGUAGCGGUGAAAUGCGUAGAUAUCUGGAGGAACACCGGUGGCGAAGGCGGCGUUCUGGACUGCUACUGACACUGAGGAACGAAAGCCAGGGAGCAAACGGG